AUCCGGGCGGCUCCACGUGCGCCUGGAGAUCCUGGAGGCCACGGCCAGCGCGGCCGCCCUGGAGCAGGUGCUGCGUACCAACAGCCUGGCGCGCCCGGCGCACGGCCCCGAGCUCUCGGCCGCGCUGCUCUCCGUCUACGUGGACCGCGGCGCCGAGCUGCCCGUGCGCAAGGGCUCCAAGGCGCCGGCCGCCUGCGCCAGCCUCUCCGUGCGCGACGUCACCCUCAAGACCAAGACCUGCGCCCCCAGCUGCGAGCCCGUGUGGGAUGAAGGCUUCUCCUUCCUCAUCAAGCAGCCCCUCGAGGAGUCGCUG